UACGUAGGGGGCAAGCGUUGUCCGGAUUUAUUGGGCGUAAAGAGCGUGUAGGCGGUUUGGUAGGUCCGCUGUGAAAACUCGAGGCUCAACCUCGAGACGCCGGUGGAAACCACGACGAGCUAGAGUCCGGAAGAGGAGAGUGGAAUUCCUGGUGUAGCGGUGAAAUGCGCAGAUAUCAGGAAGAACACCCGUGGCUAAGGCGGCUCUCUAGUACGGUACUGACGCUGAGACGCGAAAGCGUGGGGAGCGAACAGG
rnacentral:rRNA from 1 species